UACGGAGGGUGCAAGCGUUAAUCGGAAUUACUGGGCGUAAAGCGCACGUAGGUGGUUUGCUAAGUCAGCUGUGAAAUCCCCAGGCUCAACCUGGGCACUGCAGUUGAAACUGGCAAGCUAGAGUAGGGUAGAGGGGUGUGGAAUUCCAGGUGUAGCGGUGAAAUGCGUAGAUAUCAGGAGGAACACCCGUGGCGGAAGGCGGUUCUCUGGGACGGUACUGAC
rnacentral:rRNA from 1 species